GUGCUCCUACGGGACGCAGCAGUAGGGAAUUUUCGUCAAUGGGCGCAAGCCUGAACGAGCAAUGCCGCGUGAAAGAGGAAGGUCUUCGGAUCGUAAAGUUCUGUUGAAGGGGAAAAAGAGCGGAGAGAGGAAAUGAACUCCGAUUGAUAUUACCCUUCGAGGAAGUCACGGCUAACUACGUGCCAGCAGCCGCGGUAAUAAGUAGGUGGCGAGCGUUAUCCGGAAUGAUGGGGCGAAAAGGGUGCGUAGGCGGCCUGCUACGUCUGGAGUGAAAGGUACCGGCUCACACAGUACAGGCUC
rnacentral:rRNA from 1 species